GGGCAAAUGUUUUGAGACUGCCCAUGGAGGUGAGGCCUGUGGUCCCCAUGGAGUCCACCAG
rnacentral:antisense_RNA from 1 species